AGAAAAGAAAAAGAAAGCAUCAUUUGUACACCAGAGGGCAGAAACUGUUUACAGUUAUAACCGAUAGAGUUAUGAUGUAGUUUCCGUUCUUACGUGAAGGGAAAAAAAGUUUAAGAAAGGGUUCGUUACUCCAUUCCAGUCAUCUGUCUUUAGGAACAACAUGAUUAGACAUCUGAUCAACACUGCUAUCUUGUUGCUGUUUUUAACAGGCUUCUCGGAGAACUCUGAAGUCAUCCAGACCCCUUCUGACCUGCUGCCCAAAAACACUGUAGAGUCAGUGACUCUUCAAUGUUCUCACACAAAUCCAAGCUUCAAUGUCAUCCUCUGGUACAAGCAGCCUCUUAGCGGAGAAAUGCAGCUCAUGGGAUAUCUCUACAGGGCAAAUAAUAACACAGAGCCCCUUUUUAACAUGAAAAUUGAGCUACUGGGGAAUGGAGCAAGUAAAAGCAAUCUGAUCCUGAAAAAACUUUCCUCAGAUGACAAUGCAAUCUAUUACUGUGCUGCGAGAGAACACAGUGCUGUGGGUUUCCUGCACUUCUGCACAAAAACGUUAUCUUGGAACCCUAUACAUUACAUCACAGUGUCACUCUUUCUUUAUGUUAAGAAGGUAGUUAUGUUCGUAACAUGCCAAAUGUAAACACUUACGGGCUACCGCUGCUAGUUAUCACACUUAUUUACUCCAGAGAAUGCUUCUCAAUGCUCAUUUCUGUAUAGGCUUAUA